rnacentral:rRNA from 1 species
UACGUAGGCAGCGAGCGUUGUUCGGAGUUACUGGGCGUAAAGGGUGUCGUAGGCGGUUGUUUAAGUUUGGUGUGAAAUCUCCCGGCUCAACUGGGAGGUGCGCCGAAUACUGAAGUGCUGAGUGCGGGAGAGGAGAGUGGAAUUCCUGGUGUAGCGGUGAAAUGCGUAGAUAUCAGGAGGAACACCGGUGGUGUAGACGGCUCUCUGGACCGUAACUGACGCUGAGACACGAAAGCGUGGUAGCAAACAGG